GUGAAGAACGUAGCGAAAUGCGAUAAGUAAUGUGAAUUGCAGAAUUCAGUGAAUCAUCGAAUCUUUGAACGCACAUUGCGCCCGCCAGUAUUCUGGCGGGCAUGCCUGUUCGAGCGUCAUUUCAACCAUCAAGCCCCCGGCUUGUGUUGGGGACCUGCGGCUGCCGCAGGCCCUGAAAACCAGUGGCGGGCUCGCUAGUCACUCCGAGCGUAGUAAUACAUCUCGCUCAGGGCGUGCUGCGGGUUCCGGCCGUUAAAAAGCCUUAUUUACCCAAGGUUGACCUCGGAUCAGGUAGGAAGACCCGCUGAACUUAAGCAUAUCAAUAAGCGGAGGA
rnacentral:misc_RNA from 1 species